rnacentral:tRNA from 1 species
GGUCUAUUAGUCUAGUUGGUUAGGACGUCGGAUUCUGAUUCCGUAGGCCCAGGUUCGAAUCCUGGAUGGACCUUA